rnacentral:rRNA from 1 species
UACGGAGGGAGCUAGCGUUGUUCGGAAUUAUUGGGCGUAAAGCGCGUGUAGGCGGCUUGGCAAGUCGGGUGUGAAAGCCCUCAGCUCAACUGAGGAAGUGCGCCCGAAACUGCUUUGCUUGAGUGCUGGAGAGGGUCGCGGAAUUCCCCAAGUAGAGGUGAAAUUCGUAGAUAUGGGGAGGAACACCGGUGGCGAAGGCGGCGACCUGGACAGUAACUGACGCUGAGACGCGAAAGCGUGGGUAGCAAACAGG